AAUACAGAAAAAAAAAAUUAAAAAUAGUUCUACACUGUUUAUUUACAAAGAAUACAAAUUCAAGCAACAAAUCAACAGUGACAAAUUGUAGAAUGCCACCAUUUUUGUACUUGCUGGAAAGGCAAGAGGUCUCAUGAUGAAAAAGGAAUAUAUGUUAUUAAAUGUCUAUCUAUUAUGGUUGGAUAGGUUUAACAGUCAUAUGGAAGCAUACUGUUGGUGAAGGAUAAAAUUUCAGGAAUAUUUAAAGACAAAAUAGCCACACUUUCUGUAACUUCAUUAAGAUUCAACCUUUCAAACAAUUCAAAAUUCUGAAUACAUUAAAUUAUUAACUUCUCUCAAUAUUUUGAAUAUCUACAAACACUAAUGAUAUAACUAUUUUAGUAGCUAAUUACAAAUAUUUUUAUAAAUAUUAGUUCUGAAUGAAACAUUUCAUAUCAACAAUAACCAGGAUAUCACUGAAAUAUGUAUUGAAAGAGAUGGAAUUUUCUCACUUGCCUGGCAAGUCACAAAGUUACAAGAUCCUAAGAAGGACAGUCCAGGAGCAAAUACAAAUAAAUUAUUCAUUGUUAUGUUGCUAUGAUAUAUAACAACAGAAACUAGUGAAUUUUUAGUGAAUUCAUAUUUCUGGACAUUUCAACUGGAUUUCAUGUCAGAAUUUAACUCUUUUUUCAAAGGAAAGAGUUAUUGCUCUAAUGGAUAAAUGAAACUUGCUGUGAUUUAUAAGAAUAUUAAGAAGGAAAUCUUACUGAUUUUCUUGGUUUGUAAUGGAAGUCUGUUCACUUACAAGAGAUAACAUUAUGUUUCCAACAUUACAUUUACUAUUGACAUUAAUUAUCUUUAAUAAAAUUUAUUUUUCCAGUGAUGUUACAGUGAGAUAGCUCUUUGUUAUCCUUAGCCACCCAUAAUAUGUUCCUGAGCUAACACGACAUAGGAUUUUCUGUGUUUUGAAUAGAAUAUUCAUUUAUUCACACAAAUCAACAAGAUACCCAGGCAUAACAAUAACCCUUGGUGUAAAGGCAGCACAUUUUAUGAAUUAAAAAUAAACAGUGAAACAAAUAAUUUAAAAAAUAUCUCUCUCACUGGGAGAGUGAAGUGUCGUAUGAAGUUGAACUCACAUUAAUGGCUCCUUCAUUUUAUACUUUUCUCCCCAAAUUUGCAGUGUGCCUUACCUAUUCUUCACAAACAAGAGCCCUUCCAAAAUGUAAGGUGGCAGCAACUCCUGAAAGCCUUCAGUGGCACUGAGUGUAUUGACUGUUCUUAGGUUCUAACUGUAAAAUUCUUCAGUUUUAUUUGUUCUGCCUAUUUCAGAUAAUUGGCAGCUUUCUUACCAUGGUGGAAGUGCUCUUACACCAUAAAGACCAUAAGUUUUUUUCUUAAAGAAAUACUUUAUCUAUUGGAAAAAAUGUGUUUUCCUCUGGACAGUUCAUAUGGGAUGCAAAGUUUUGCUUGGAAUUCUAUUGUAUAUACGGCUGUUCUGUACUUCUCUGGUGAUCUCAGUCUUGUUAACUUGGUCUUCUCUCAUCCGUUCCACCUGUAUAGUUGCUAUUAUGUGAGAAAGUAAAUGUCCCUGUACACUGAUAAAUAGAUUAAUGUAUGCAGAUGCAGUAAUUUUAAGAAAUGAACAUGAACUCAAAAUGGUAGAAAGAUAUAUCACCUAGAACUGAAUGAUUUUAUGUCCUCAUUUGUCUUCUAAUAUAGACUAUCUGUUCCAAAAAAAUUUUAGAAGCUUAGGAGUGAGAGCCCUGCUCAAGAUCUUCAGUCAGGCCAUACAGAAGGAUGACAUGAUAGAAUCUUAAACUGAGAAGAGGAUUGUAUCAGUGCCUGGACAGUGGAGCAUCAGUGUAUCAGGAGAUAUGGUUGAAAUCAUUAACCACAGCUAUUCCAUAAAUUAAAUAAUUUGUCACUUCUGAAGAUACUGUCCCAGAGCUGGUCAGUUUUAGAAAAAAAAUUUAGAUUGUUGGAUAUUUUAAGCAUGAAACAAAAUCAUCCAGCAAAUUGAUGAAAUCCUGCUGAGUCUAUUUUGGCUAAGAAAUUUAUUGGAGCCCAAUAAAAAUGCUUAUCUUUUGGGAACGCAAUAA